rnacentral:rRNA from 1 species
ACUACGGGCGGCAGCAGUGGGGAAUAUUGGACAAUGGGGGGAACCCUGAUCCAGCGACGCCGCGUGAGUGAAGAAGGAUUUCGGUAUGUAAAGCUCUAUCAGCAGGGAAGAAAGAAAUGACGGUACCGGACUAAGAAGCCACGGCUAACUACGUGCCAGCAGCCGCGGUAAUACGCAGGGGGCAAGCGUUAACCGGAUUUACUGGGUGUAAAGGGAGCGUAGACGGCGAUGCAAGUCUGAAGUGAAAGGCGGGGGCCCACCCCCCGGACUGCUUUUGAAACGGUAUGGCUGGAGUGCAGGUGAGGUAAGUGGUAUUCCUAUUGUAGCGGUGAUAUGCGUAGAUAUUAGGCGGAACACCAGUGGCGACGGCGGCUUACUGGACUGUACCUGACGUUGAGGCUCGACAGCGUGGGGAGCAAACAGGAUUAGAUACCCUUGUAGUC